UCUGCUUACGACUAAAGUUGAG
rnacentral:siRNA from 1 species